rnacentral:sRNA from 1 species
AGUUGAUGCACAUGGCGGUCUCCUCCCAGUCCGCUGCAUCAGCUGUUCCCCUCUGGAGGUUUAAAUAUCUCCACACUUCAUGGGCCUCGGUUUUCCGGUGGCCCAUUUUU